rnacentral:rRNA from 1 species
CGUUGGGGCAGGCCUAAUACAUGCAAGUCGAGGGGCAGCACAGGUAGCAAUACUGGGUGGCGACCGGCAAACGGGUGCGGAACACGUACGCAACCUUCCUCUGAGUGGGGAAUAGCCCGAAGAAAUUCGGAUUAAUACCCCGUAAUAUUAUUGGGUGGCAUCACCUGGUAAUUAAAGAACUUCGCUUAGAGAUGGGCGUGCGCCUGAUUAGGUAGUUGGUGAGGUAACGGCUCACCAAGCCGACGAUCAGUAACUGGCGUGAGAGCGCGACCAGUCACACGGGCACUGAGACACGGGCCCGACUCCUACGGGAGGCAGCAGUAAGGAAUAUUGGUCAAUGGACGCAAGUCUGAACCAGCCAUGCCGCGUGAAGGAUGAAGGUCCUCUGGAUUGUAAACUUCUUUUAUCUGGGAAGAAACCGCUUUUAUCUAAAGGCGUUGACGGUACCAGAGGAAUAAGCACCGGCUAACUCCGUGCCAGCAGCCGCGGUAAUCCGGAGGGUGCAAGCGUUAUCCGGAUUCACUGGGUUUAAAGGGUGCGUAGGCGGAUUUGUAAGUCCGUGGUGAAAUCUCCAGGCUUAACCUGGAAACUGCCGUGGAUACUAUAAAUCUUGAAUGUUGUGGAGGUUAGCGGAAUAUGUCAUGUAGCGGUGAAAUGCAUAGAUAUGACAUAGAACACCAAUUGCGAAGGCAGCUGGCUACACAAAUAUUGACGCUGAGGCACGAAAGCGUGGGGAUCAAACAGGAUUAGAUACCCUGGUAGUCCACGCCCUAAACGAUGAUUACUCGACAUUUGCGAUAUACAGCAAGUGUCUGAGCGAAAGCAUUAAGUAAUCCACCUGGGAAGUACGACCGCAAGGUUGAAACUCAAAGGAAUUGACGGGUCGCCACAGCGGUGGAGCAUGGUGUUAUUCGAUGAUACCGAAGACCUAACUGGGCUAGAAAUGCAGAAUUGAACCGUGGGGUUAAGCG